AUUAAAAUGCUACUAACCCCGCCCUGAGUAGUAAUAGAACUCUCGAAACUCAAAGAAUUUGGCGGCACCCCAUCCUGUUAGAGGAGCCUGCCCCAUAAACGAUGGCCCACGAUUUAACUUUCCCUGGUUAAAAGUUUGUAUACCGCCGUAUAGGAUCCAUUUUAAAAUGGGUUCAUGAUUAUGUGAAUAAAAACUUCAGGUCAAGGUGCAGCUUAUGCUAGGGUGGUGGUGGGCUACAUUAAAUUUAUUUAAACAGCGAUUAAAUUCUAAAUUUAAACAAAGGUGGAUUUAAAUGUAAGGCUUAAGACUUUUCAGCCUGGCUAGGCU
rnacentral:rRNA from 1 species